rnacentral:rRNA from 1 species
GACGAACGCUGGCGGCGUGCUUAACACAUGCAAGUCGAACGGAAAGGCCCUGCUUGCAGGGUACUCGAGUGGCGAACGGGUGAGUAACACGUGGGUGAUCUGCCCUGCACUUCGGGAUAAGCCUGGGAAACUGGGUCUAAUACCGGAUAGGAGCCAUUUUUAGUGUGAUGGUUGGAAAGUUUUUUUCGGUGUAGGAUGAGCUCGCGGCCUAUCAGCUUGUUGGUGGGGUAAUGGCCUACCAAGGCGGCGAUGGGUAGCCGGUCUGAGAGGGUGGACGGCCACAUUGGGACUGAGAUACGGCCCAGACUCCUACGGGAGGCAGCAGUGGGGAAUAUUGCACAAUGGGCGCAAGCCUGAUGCAGCGACGCCGCGUGGGGGAUGACGGCCUUCGGGUUGUAAACUCCUUUCGCUAGGGACGAAGCUUUUUGUGACGGUACCUAGAUAAGAAGCACCGGCUAACUACGUG